rnacentral:lncRNA from 1 species
GGCGCAUACGCACCUGGGUUGUCUCGAGCCUGCGGUAGUGGCCAGAUCCCAGACAUCCGAGUAGAUCCCGUGAAAAGGUCUUCUUCUUGGUUUCUUCGUACAUUCUGGAUCCACCCCUUUCAUGCAUAUUCCAGACCACAUUUCCACUGGAGCAGUUGAAAUGAGAGAGAUGGGAAUGGGACUCACCCGAACCAGAGGUGAAUUUUUAUUACAGACCCAUUAACAGAGGUGUCAAAGUCACAGGAACAAGGAUGUGCACCUCAGAAACACAGAGGUCAGUGGAAAAUCAGUUUGCUUCUAUUUGUUUAAAAAAUGGGGGACUUAUGCAUAAAUCUAAGACCUUCUUGAAUCUAACAUUCUAAGACCUGUAUGCCACAGAAAGGAGGGUCUCAGAACGCCGGAGGAUAGUAUUUAAAUCUUAAAUAUCUAUAUUGUUCUCCACAGUUACUGGGUCACCACAUAGCAGGCAUU